UAGAGUUUGAUCAUGGCUCAGGACGAACGCUGGCGGCGUGGAUUAGGCAUGCAAGUCGUACGAGAAUACAGGUUUGAAAAUCGUUAAGAUUUGAUAACCUGUAGGAGAGUGGCGAAAGGGUGAGUAACACGUAGGUAAUCUGCCCUUUAGUCUGGGAUAACACUUCGAAAGAGGUGCUAAUACCGGAUGUCGUCAUGUAUACGUAUGUAUAUAUGAUGAAAGUUGGCAACUGCUGGCGCUAGAGGAUGAGCCUGCGGCCUAUUAGCUAGUUGGUGAGGUAAUGGCUCACCAAGGCGAUAAUGGGUAGCCGGUCUGAGAGGAUGGUCGGUCACACUGGGACUGAGACACUGCCCAGACUCCUACGGGAGGCUGCAGUCGAGAAUCUUCCGCAAUGCGCGAAAGCGUGACGGAGCGACGCCGUGUGAGCGAUGAAGGCCUUCGGGUUGUAAAGCUCUGUGUUACGGGAUGAAUUGCUAAUCGACGAAAAAUCGGUUGGUUUGUCAUUACCGUAAUAGAAAGCCCCAGCUAACUGCGUGCCAGCAGCUGCGGUAAUACGUAGGGGGCUAGCGUUGUCCGGAAUUAUUGGGUGUAAAGGGCGCGUAGGCGGUCAUGUAAGUCGUAUGUGAAAUCGUUAGGCUCAACCUGGCAACUGCAUACGAUACUGUAUGACUUGAGUACAGGAUAGGAGUGUGGAAUAAGUGGUGUAGCGGUGGAAUGCGUAGAUAUCACUUAGAACACUCGUGGCGAAGGCGGCUCUCUAGCCUGAUACUGACACUGAGGCGCGAAAGCCAGGGUAGCGAACGGGAUUAGAUACCCCGGUAGUCCUGGCCGUAAACGAUGGGUACUAAGUGUAGGAGGUGUUGAUUCCUUCUGUGCUGUAGUUAACGCGUUAAGUACCCCACCUGGGGAGUACGGCCGCAAGGCUAAAACUCAAGGUAAUUGACGGGGGCCCGCACAAGCGGUGGAGCAUGUCGCUUAAUUCGAUGCAACGCGAAGAACCUUAUCCAGGGUUUGACAUCACUCUGACUACCAUGGAAACAUGGGUCUCCCUUUUGGGACGGAGUGACAGGUGCUGCAUGGCUGUCGUCAGCUCGUGUCGUGAGAUGUCGGGUUAAGUCCCGCAACGAGCGCAACCCUUGUCCUUAGUUGCCAGCGGGUAAUGCCGGGGACUCUAAGGAGACUGCCUGCGAUGAGCAGGAGGAAGGUGGGGAUGACGUCAAGUCCGCAUGGCCCUUAUGCCCUGGGCUGCACACGUGCUACAAUGGUCGGUACAGCGGGGAGCGAAACCGCAAGGUGGAGCAAAUCUCUAAAAGCCGGCCUCAGUUCGGAUUGGAGUCUGCAACUCGACUCCAUGAAUGUCGGAAUCGCUAGUAAUCGCGGAUCAGAAUGCCGCGGUGAAUACGUUCCCGGGCCUUGUACACACUGCCCGUCAAGCCAUGAAAGCCGGUAGCAUUCGAAGCCGGCGAGCUAACCCCUUUUCGGAGAGGCAGCCGUCGAAGAUGAGACCGGUGAUUGGGGCUAAGUCGUAACAAGGUA
rnacentral:rRNA from 1 species